rnacentral:misc_RNA from 1 species
GGUAUGAUUAUUGCGGAAAACUGGAUCCAACGAGUUGCAAUGGAACUUCAGAAAAGUCCCGAAGAAAUCAGAGAAAUUAACUUCAACAGUGAAGGAACUGUGCUUCAUUACGGUCAGGAGCUUCAGAAUUGUACGCUGAGGCAGGUAUGGGAUGAACUGAAGGCAUCUUGUAAUUUUUUGAAUGGUCGUGAAGAAGUAAACCAAUUUAAUCUCCAUAACCGCUGGAAGAAGCGCGGAGUUGCAAUGGUUCCGACGAAAUUUGGUAUUUCCUUCACUGCUAAGCACA